AACGCACAUUGCGCCCCCUGGUAUUCCGGGGGGCACGCCCGUUCGAGCGUCAUUACACCAAUCGAGCCUGGCUCGGUGUUGGGGCACGGGGAGACCCGGCCCCCAAAGUGAUUCGGCUAGGAUGGCCCCGAUCACGGCGUUGUGAAACAAUCUCGCCGGUGGAGGGUAGUCGGGCCGCGAAACCCCCAAAGGUUGACCUCGGAUCGGGUGAGGAUACCCGCUGAACUUAA
rnacentral:misc_RNA from 1 species